GACGAACGCUGGCGGCGUGCCUAAUACAUGCAAGUAGAACGCUGAAGGAGGAGCUUGCUUCUCUGGAUGAGUUGCGAACGGGUGAGUAACGCGUAGGUAACCUGCCUGGUAGCGGGGGAUAACUAUUGGAAACGAUAGCUAAUACCGCAUAAUAGUAGAUGUUGCAUGACAUUUGCUUAAAAGGUGCAAUUGCAUCACUACCAGAUGGACCUGCGUUGUAUUAGCUAGUUGGUGAGGUAACGGCUCACCAAGGCAACGAUACAUAGCCGACCUGAGAGGGGGAUCGGCCACACUGGGACUGAGACACGGCCCAGACUCCUACGGGAGGCAGCAGUAGGGAAUCUUCGGCAAUGGACGGAAGUCUGACCGAGCAACGCCGCGGGAGUGAAGAAGGUUUUCGGAUCGUAAAGCUCGGUUGUAAGAGAAGAACGAGUGUGAGAGUGGAAAGUUCACACUGUGACGGUAUCUUACCAGAAAGGGACGGCUAACUACGUG
rnacentral:rRNA from 1 species